GUACACGCUGUGACUAGCAUAUCAAUAAGCGGAGGAAAAGAAACUAACAAGGAUUCCCCUAGUAACGGCGAGUGAAGCGGGAAGAGCUCAAAUUUGAAAUCUUAAAGGGUUUCCCUUUACGAAUUGUAGUUUAAAGAAGUGUUUUCUGUUGAGGUUUUGGUAAAAGUUCUUUGGAAUAGGACAUCAUAGAGGGUGAGAAUCCCGUAUUUGACCUUUACUUUCAACUUUGUGAUACACUUUCAAAGAGUCGGAUUGUUUGGGAAUGCAGUCCAAAAUGGGUGGUAAGUUUCAUCUAAAGCUAAAUAUUGGCGAGAGACCGAUAGCGAACAAGUACCGUGAGGGAAAGAUGAAAAGAACUUUGAAAAGAGAGUUAAACAGUACGUGAAAUUGUCAAAAGGGAAGCGUUUGACACCAGUGUUGUUUUUCUGAAAAUCAAUUAAAGAACUGUUUAUGCUAAGCUGUUUAGACUUUAUCAGCUAUCUGUUUAGUUUUGAGCUUUUCUUUAAUGCACUUUUCAGUUAACAAGUCAACAUCAAUUUCUUUUGCUGUAAAAAAGCUUGAGGAAGGUGGCUUGAGAUUCGUCUUAAGUGUUUAUAGCCUCUUGCCUAUGCAGUCGGAGAGAUUGAGGUCUGCAGCGUAGAUCCUUCGGGGCUAAAUGCAUUUGUGCUAAGUUAUAGCAUUUUAUAGACAACUUGUUGACUAUGAUUUGUCUUGUAGCUUACUCGCUUAUGUUAUUUUACCUACGCUUAGGAUGUUGAUAUGCAUGACUGAUAU
rnacentral:rRNA from 1 species